AGAGUUUGAUCCUGGCUCAGGACGAACGCUGGCGGCGUGCCUAAUACAUGCAAGUCGAGCGGAGUUAUUGUGGGAGCUUGCUUCCAUAAUAGCUUAGCGGCGGACGGGUGAGUAACACGUGGGCAACCUGCCUGUAAGAUCGGAAUAACUGUCGGAAACGUCAGCUAAAACCGGAUAGAUGGUCUUGUCGCAUGGCGAGA
rnacentral:rRNA from 1 species